UGGGGUGGGGGCGGGCGUGCUAUACAUGCAAGUCGAACGCUUUGUGGUUCAACUGAUUUGAAGAGCUUGCUCAGAUAUGACGAUGGACAUUGCAAAGAGUGGCGAACGGGUGAGUAACACGUGGGAAACCUACCUCUUAGCAGGGGAUAACAUUUGGAAACAGAUGCUAAUACCGUAUAACAAUAGCAACCGCAUGGUUGCUACUUAAAAGAUGGUUCUGCUAUCACUAAGAGAUGGUCCCGCGGUGCAUUAGUUAGUUGGUGAGGUAAUGGCUCACCAAGACGAUGAUGCAUAGCCGAGUUGAGAGACUGAUCGGCCACAAUGGGACUGAGACACGGCCCAUACUCCUACGGGAGGCAGCAGUAGGGAAUCUUCCACAAUGGGCGAAAGCCUGAUGGAGCAACGCCGCGUGUGUGAUGAAGGGUUUCGGCUCGUAAAACACUGUUGUAAGAGAAGAAUGACAUUGAGAGUAACUGUUCAAUGUGUGACGGUAUCUUACCAGAAAGGAACGGCUAAAUACGUGCCAGCAGCCGCGGUAAUACGUAUGUUCCAAGCGUUAUCCGGAUUUAUUGGGCGUAAAGCGAGCGCAGACGGUUAUUUAAGUCUGAAGUGAAAGCCCUCAGCUCAACUGAGGAAUUGCUUUGGAAACUGGAUGACUUGAGUGCAGUAGAGGAAAGUGGAACUCCAUGUGUAGCGGUGAAAUGCGUAGAUAUAUGGAAGAACACCAGUGGCGAAGCGCUUUCUGGACUGUAACUGACGUUGAGGCUCGAAAGUGUGGGUAGCAAACAGGAUAGAUACCCUGGUAGUCCACACCGUAAACGAUGAGUGCUAGUGUUUGAGGUUUCCGCCUAAGUGCCGCAGCUACGCAUAGCAUCCGCUGGGGAGUACGACCGCAGUGAACUCAAGAUGACGGGACCGCCAGCGUGGAACAUGUGUUUAUUCGAGCA
rnacentral:rRNA from 1 species